GAUGAAGAACGCAGCGAAAUGCGAUAAGUAAUGCGAAUUGCAGAAUUCAGUGAGUCAUCGAAUCUUUGAACGCACAUUGCGCCCUGUGGUAUUCCGCAGGGCAUGCCUGUUCGAGCGUCAUUUCAACCCUCAAGCUCUGCUUGGUGUUGGGCCCUGCCCGCUGCGGCCGGCCCUAAAGACAGUGGCGGUGCCGCCUGGCCCUGAGCGUAGUACAUCUCUCGCUCCAGUGCCCGGUGGUAGCCUGCCAGAACCCCAACUCUCGUGGUUGACCUCGGAUCAGGUAGGGAUACCCGCUGAACUUAAGCAUAUCAAUAAGCUGAGGA
rnacentral:misc_RNA from 1 species